rnacentral:rRNA from 1 species
UCCCUACGGGGCGCAGCAGGCGCGAAAACUCUACAAUGCAGGCAACUGCGAUAGGGGGACAUCGAGUGGCGCCCACCUUGGGCGCCUGUCCCACCGUCUAAAAAACGGUGGUUAGCAAGGGCCGGGUAAGACCGGUGCCAGCCGCCGCGGUAAUACCGGCGGCUCGAGUGGUGGCCGAUAUUAUUGAGUCUAAAGGGUCCGUAGCCGGCUCCGCAAGUCCCCCGGGAAAUCCAGCGGCCCAACCGUUGGGCGCCCGUGGGAUACUACGUUGCUUGGGACUGGGAGAGGUGGGAGGUACUCGGGGGGUAGGGGUGAAAUCCUGUAAUCC